rnacentral:lncRNA from 10 species
CUGCAAGGCAUUUGCACUGUCACCUCUGGGGUUCUUUUUUUUUGUUUUGUUUCUAAUGGACAGAAACCUGCAAGUUAACAUGUAACUUCAAAGUCAGAGCCCUCAUCAAUAGUAGGUAGCACAACCCCUAGAGAAGAUGAUCCCUGGAUGGACUUGUCAGACCAUGUUCCAGUCUAACACUGAGAGGACAUGCAGUCACCCUUUUGCUUUGUUGCUAAGUUUCAGACUGCUGCAUGAAACUCCCAGAGCUCCACAGAAUGCAGUUGGAAACUGACAUGGGAAAUCUCGAAGAAUCAUGACAAGAAGCUCCUGUCUGAGGAAAGGUACAGGAGCCAGGAGUGGGAGAGAUGACAUGAAGCCGCAGUGCUGGAUCAGCCUCAGAUGACAGUGAGGGCUGCCUUGUCUCAGGCAGUGGAGAAGAAGAGACGGGUGGGGGAAGGGGAUGGGGCUGAGCUGCUUAGUCCAGAUCGCCCUUCCUCGUCAGCCAUCUGCCCCAGCCCAGAGACCCCAGAGGACGGAGCGUUCAGGCUACCUCUCAGGCUGACUGAGUCAUGCAGCAUAGGCUGCCACGUCUCUGGGCUGGCGGGGCCGUCAUUAUUCCUGGCCUCACUGCAGCUAAAUUGAAGAAACGUUUGGUUUGUGGGCCACGUCAAGGAAUGUGUAAGAGCUGCCACGUUGUCGGGUCUGGGUUAUUGGGCUUUUCCCCUCCUUCAGAGAAGAUUUCCAGGCGUGUGGGUGGGGUUUCAGAAGAAAAUUGAUGCCUGCGUGUGAGUGUUCCCUGGACCUGGACCAGCAGCGGCAAUAUUACAGACCCGGGGGUUGGGGCAGACUGAGCCAAUCUGGUGCCGAGCUCCUCCGACCCUCCCCAGAGCAGCAGGGAGCCCUGCACCGUCAAAGUUAUGGAUACAGAGCCCUGGAAAAAGGCUGAAGGGCUGUGAAACCAAUAGUACAAAUCUUUAACCUUUGGAGAGUGAUUGGCCACAUCAAGAGCCGAAGGUGUUUUCUCAGUGUGGUUUAAUAAAAAGAGCAGUAGGUCGAAGAGUUAGUUAGCUUGAGUCAAGCCCCAGCUCUGCUAUUUAUUGGCCGGGAGACCCAGGCCAGCUCACUUUACCUUUCUGAACCUCAGUUUCUUCUUCAAACGAGGGUGUUGGAGCAAAUAAACAUUCCCCCAAGGAGUUUGUUAGGAAACGAAGUUCUGUGGAAUGCAUUAAAAAUUCAUGAAAAAGAGGACUCUGUGAUAGCUUUAACAGAGUUCAACAGGUUUCUUUUCAGCAGACAUUUUCAGAGCUUUUAAGGUUUCAAGGUGCCUCAGGAAUAUCCACGAGGAAGGUAGUGAGUGCUGCAUUUCACAAACGUGCUUGAACCCAGGGUCCCCCUAUCUUUCUGGAAUAUGUUAUAGGACUAAUAUUUUGUGAAACACACUUUGGAAAAUGUUGAAUUAGAUAAUCUACUUAUAAGAUAGCUGACAUUUAUGAAGUGCUUCAUUCAUGUAGCAGUGGGCCAAAUGCGUUACAUAUAUGAUCUCAUUUAAUCCUCACAAGCACCUCACAAGAACUUUACACUUGAGGAAGCUGAGGCUGGAGGUUGAUAACAUGCCUCAAGUCUUCUAGAGUUAAAUAACUUUGACCCAGGACCCAAGCCCAGAGUUCUGACUCAAAAACUAGGCCUCCUAAACAUCCUCUUAUAUUUGCUGACUCCCUAAAAUCUAUGUUCACUUGAAUCUUACACUGACUUUGUACCCAGGAGAGUGAAAUAUUUUAAUCAUGCUCAUUUUACAGAUAAGAACACUCAGGUUUGGAAAGGAAAAGUGAGCUGCUUAAGGUCAGAGUAUAAGCAGGGCCUCAGGGCACAGGUCCUACUAAGGGAAGAACCCAAAUCAGAACUCAAAUGAGUGCUUCUUUCUCCUCGGGUGAUGCUAUGGUUGGAACAUGUACCCCUAAAAGCAUGUGUUGAAAACUUAAUCCUCAAUGCAGCAGUGUUGGGAGGUGGGGCCUAUCGGGAGAUGCUUAGGUCAUGAGGGCUCUGCCCUUACGAGUUGAUUAACAUCAAUUAGGGUUUGAGGUUGCAAGUUCUAUCUCUUGCUCUCUUUCUCUCCCUCUCUUUGCCCUUCUACCAUGGCAUGAUACAGCAUGAAGACCUUUGCCAGAUGCUAGUCCUCAAUCUUGGACUUCCCAGCUCCAGAAUCAUGAGCCAUUAAAUUUCUGUUUAUUAUAAAUCACCCAGUUCCAGGUAUUCUGUUAUAACAACACAAAAACAGACUAAGACCAGUGGGUUUGUGUCAACAUGUCAACAUGAAAAGGUGCAGCCAACGCAUUAUUAACAUUUGUCACCUCAGUGGAGAGGGAGCCUCUGUGAGAAGGCGGUGCCUUGGUAAACUCUUACUGGGACCCUGGGUGGAGGCAGUGGGUGCAGUGGAAAGAGUCUUGACUGUUAAGAGUUUGGGAGCUUUCAUUUCAGCCCCACCAUGGGCCAACUGUGUGACUUUGGGCAAGUCUGUCUGUCUGCCCGCCCAAGCCCAAAAUGGGCUUAGUGAAUCCUGACCUUUCUACUUUGUAGACUAAAUGUGCCACUCAAUAAGAUUAGGGUGAUAAAAGUCCUUUGUGGGCCAGACACGGUAGCUCACGCCUGUAAUCCCAGUACUUUGGGAGGCUGAGGUGGGCAGAUCACUAGGUUAGGAGUUCAAGACUAGCCUGGCCAACUUGGUGAAACCCUGCCUCUACUAAAAAAUACAAAAAAUUAGCCAGGCCUGGUGGCACACGCCUGUAAUCCUAGCUACUCAGGAGGCUGAGGCAGGAGAAUUGCUUGAACCCAGGAGGUGGAGGAUGCAGUGAGCCAAGAUUGUGCGACUAUGCUCCAGCCUGGGUGACAGAACGAGACUCCGUCUCAGAAAAAAAAAAAAAAAAAGUCCUUUGUGAGCUACAAAGAGCUAAAGGAGAAACCUUCAACUGCUCAGUGGGUGUGUUGCAAGUGGGGAGGGUGCUGAGGUUAAAUUUCAUCUUCCUCUGUUUGGCCUUGGCCUGGUUGGUGGAUGCUCUGCUUCGGGGACCCAGGGCCAGAUGACAAUGGGUUCUUUGUGCCCUUCAGACAAUGGGAAGGGCUGCCUGGGGAAAGAUACAGUAACAAGGCAACAGGCUGAGUCAGCCUCCAAUGUGCUUGAACCUUCUUAGCUUGGCAGCCUUGACAUUCAGCCAGCCACACAAAGGGUAUAUUUGAGAGUUCUGAUACAUAAUCCCCAUCCCAAAGAGGUCAGCCUGCCCAGUCCCUCCCUCCGGAGAUUUGGAACAGGCCAGAGCUGGCUUCAGCCUGGGAGAGAGAGGCCCCAGGCCUAGCUGUCCACACUGUAACCUUGGGCUCUUUAAACCUCAAUUUUCCCAGCCACACAUGGAAAAUCUGGGAUUGAAUAGGGCUAAAGGGCCCUGUCAGUUCUAAGCUUUGAAAAAAUAGAAGCGAUCCAAUCUGAGCUUGAAGGAUGAAUGGGUUUGGGUUUGGGGCCAGUGGGGGCAGGGAGGCAGCCAUGGCCAGAAGGGCAGAAUGGGCAGUUGAGUACCUGGGGAAGUCAUGGAGAGAGGGCUCUGGAGUGGAGCUACCUGUGUGUGUUCCUGGCUUCUCCACUGUGGGACCUUGACCAAGUGAUUUAGUUCUCAGAACUUUUCUUUACUCAUCUUUAAAAUGAGAAUGGUAAUUGUACCCAUCUAUGGUAGACAAAGUAAUGGCCCCUCCAAAGAUGGACGUGCCCUAAUCCUCAGAACCUAUAAACAGGCUAUCUUACAUGGCAGAGGGGGCUUUGCAGAUUAAUUUAAGGAUUUAAAGGUGGGAAGAUUAUUUUAGGUUAUUUAGGUGGGCCCAAUGUAAUGACAAGGGUUCUUAAAAGUUGAAGGCCAGAGGGUCAAAGUCAGGAAAAGAUGUCAAGGCAGAAGCAGAGUUGGAGUGAUGUGCUUAGAAGACAGAGUGAGGGUUCACAAGCCAAGGAAUGAGGGUGGCCUCUAGAAACUGAAAAAGGUAAGAAAAUAGGCAGGGCACAGUGGCUUAUGCCUGUAAUCCCAGCACUUUGGGAGGCCCAGGCAGGCAGAUCACCUGAGGUCAGGAGUUUGAGACCAGCCUGACCAAAAUGGAGAAACCCUGUCUCUACUAAAAAUACAAAAUUAGCCAGAUGUGGUGGCACAUGCCUGUAAUCCCAGCUACUCUCGAGGCUGAGGCAGGAGAAUUGCUUGAACCCGGGAGGUGGAGGUGGCGGUGCGGCAAGAUUGCACCAUUGCACUCUAGCAUGGGCAUCAAGAGUGAAACUCUGUCUCAAAAAACAAAACAACAACAACAAAAAGGUAAGGAAACAGAUUCUUUCCUCAACAGAUUCAUCCUUCCUCCGGAAGGAACCCAACGACACCUUGAUUUUAGGACUUCUG